AAAUUGAAGAGUUUGAUCAUGGCUCAGAUUGAACGCUGGCGGCAGGCCUAACACAUGCAAGUCGAGCGGAAACGAGUUGUCAGAACCUUCGGGGAACGAUAACGGCGUCGAGCGGCGGACGGGUGAGUAAUGCCUAGGAAAUUGCCCUGAUGUGGGGGAUAACCAUUGGAAACGAUGGCUAAUACCGCAUGAUGCCUACGGGCCAA
rnacentral:rRNA from 1 species